ACGAGCGAGCGACCAGAUUGGCAAAGUCUCGAUCCACAUCGCGAAUAGUAGACUGUAUACUCGCGGACAUAAUACCAAUGAGUCACUGCUCCGCCUGCGGAGCACGCUUACGCAGUGACUGAUAACGAAAGGCGAGAAAUGAAAUAUACGCGGUGAAACAUAUUAUAAUAAUACAGACUCGGAUGAAAUGAAUACUUCAGCAUUAAAUAGAAAUGAAGGAACACAGAACAAUCACAGACAAGAAUCAUCCGAUGUAAGUCUUAUACUCCGGGGGAUAUCCGAAAAAGCAACAGCCAUCUUCUAUAGCAGAAGCAAUGAUAUUAGAUACAGAAGCAGCUGUUAUAGCGAAUUUUGAAUUUUUGGGACAUGGACGAGGAAGGAGAUGGAGAGGAUAAAAUUUGAUGCAAAUACAGAUACCAAAUCAAAUAAAGCAUCUAUCCCCCUUCUAGCAGAAGAUGUUGAUAUAGAUGCAGAGGCAGAAGAAGUAUUAAAUGAAUUAAAUCUCACAGAAAUUGAAGAAUCGCCACCUGGUUCUAUCCAUCUGGAAAUGAAUUCUUCAAAGUGAUUUUUUACAUAGAGCAAAGCUCGGUAAACUUUACAACUUUCGGCCGAUUUUCGGAAGCUACGCCUUCUAUCUCCCCUUACCGCGCGGCGGAUCCAGCAACUGACGGUCGCGGCUCGCGACCUCAGGACCGUUGAAAUCAUAAGGCGCAUCGAUGUGGUUAAAAAAAAAAAAUGCGUCGGCAAUAGUACCUCAUGGGUGACGAGAAAACCUAUUAUGUUACCUUCUAAUUAUAAAAAUCCUUUGAGGUGCGUUAAUGGAGCGCGUUAUCAACGUUAACACGUUAUUUUAUCUUUAUCGCUCAUUACAUGUACAAGGAUUGAAUGACGCGUUAGCGCUGAUCGAUGUGCUCCCCGAACGCAUCUUUCG